GAUGAACGCUGGCGGCGUGCCUAACACAUGCAAGUCGAGCGAACCCUUCGGGGUGAGCGGCGGACGGGUGAGUAACGCGUGGGUAACCUGCCCUAUACACACGGAUAACGUACCGAAAGGUACGCUAAUACGGGAUAAUAUUGUUGGAUGGCAUCUUCUAACAAUCAAAGCUCCGGCGGUAUAGGAUGGACCCGCGUCUGAUUAGCUAGUUGGUGAGGUAAUGGCUCACCAAGGCGACGAUCAGUAGCCGACCUGAGAGGGUGAUCGGCCACACUGGAACUGAGACACGGUCCAGACUCCUACGGGAGGCAGCAGUGGGGAAUAUUGCACAAUGGGCGAAAGCCUGAUGCAGCAACGCCGCGUGAGCGAUGAAGGUCUUCGGAUCGUAAAGCUCUGUCCUCAAGGAAGAUAAUGACGGUACUUGAGGAGGAAGCCCCGGCUAACUACGUGCCAGCAGCCGCCGCCG
rnacentral:rRNA from 1 species